AUGGUGGAGUGCGGUCCUCGACAGAGAGGGGCACCGCGGAUGAGUGCGGACGCCUGGCUGCCCCCCGGCUCAGGGAAGGGAAAGGGGGAAAGAGAAUGUAGGAGAGUGACGUCCAGGCCCCGCCCUCCCCUCCGGCCACGUGCAAAGACUUGAAAGGGAAGAGGACCGCGGGAAGCCUGCUGGCCUUUCUUUCCUCCGUCAGUCAACACGAUUAUCGCAGGCCUGGUGGAAGCCCACCAGCGUACUGGGAGAGAAGUUACCUGCCUUCAGGAGCUGAGGAGACCAGGAUGGCACCCAUGAGAUAACAGGAAAACUGACCCAAGAGCUACACUGUGAGGGUGAUUUUAAACGAACAAAGGAUUCCUAGAAAGCUGGAAUGGUCAGAGAAGGCUUCUGGGAGGAAAGUGAAACUGGAUCCAUUUAUAACUUUCCACAGGGAGAAGGUCAGCAGUGGUCUACAUCCCAGUUUUGUAGCACUGGCCUAGGAGGCAUUGCAGAAGUAGUGUCUCCAGGUGGACACUAGAGAGUGGGCUUAUCAGGCAUCAGUUUGGUGACCACCGACCCUGCAGAAGGAAGGAAGUUACCGGUCUCUAGUAUCUAUGCUCUGUUACUGUGGUGUUGGCCUAGAGAGAUAAUGCCUUGAUAGAACCAGGUUACAUUUCACCCAGGCCUCAUCUCAGCUUCCACUACACAACCCCAAAGACCCAUGCCUGAAAGGCAGGUGGAAAGUGAUCCUCUAGGGUUGAAGCUCAUGGUGGAGGAAGGGACAUCAAUAGAGAAUGAUGAGCUUAAGGAAAGCAGAAGCCAAGUAAGAAUAAAACAACAGAUAUUUUAUUGGGAGCAUGCUAUGCAUGAGGCAUUGCAAUGCACUAUGGGGAACUGUGUGAAACCGGGUUCCAGGUUCCACCUGACCCUACCUUGUGUGUGAUAUUUUCUCUCUUUGGGCCUCAGUUUUCACACUUAUAAAAAUGGGAGGGUUAGACUCUGCAAUCUCUCAAAUUAUUUCCCAACCUGAAGUUUCCCUACAAGAAGUUUACAAUCCAACAGGCAAAGGAAGCUAUAAAAUCAAGCAGCCAAAGCAUGAAUUUUAAGCUGUUUAAUUCUAGCAGAGCAGGAAGGGUUUGUAAUAUUCAUUAAACGAAGCCCUGAAGUCCAUGAAGGAACAGAAGAAAACAGAUUUUAUCUUGCAAGAUUCAAGGACAGUAAGUGAAGCCCAUGAGUAGUCAGGCAUUCCUUAAGUCCCUGAGAGUUCAAGAUCAGAGAUCAGACUUCACCAAUCAGUGGCAUGAGCGCCUCAUCAAUGGAUGGCCUUGUGCAUGAUGAGGACCUGGGCAAAGAUACACCCCCACAUCUCUGCAAGAGACAAGUUUCAUUGUCAGGGUACACUCUAGAGAAACUGUGCCACCCUCACCUGGGAGGGGUAACCAGGCUUAUUGAAAGAGGGGUAGACACCUGAUCCAAGGGAUUCCAGGCCAUUGGCUAUAGGCUAGGACUUAAGUGUCCCUGGCUUUAGCAGACUGAGCCAAUCAGAUUCCCUCUUGCAAGAAUCUGCAGGAAAAGGCUGAGAGACUUCUGCUCAUUGGUGACUGUUCCUCAGUCA